AUUUUAGCGUGGUAGUAAAAAUGGUAAGAUAAAAAGUCUUGGUUCCAUAGGAGCCUAGCCCAGGAUCCCUCCCUGCCCAGAAAGGCCAAUUGUCCUCACCCAACCCAGAACGUCCACCCAGGAAGAGCCAUGCUGCUGGUUCUUACCAGAACUCUCCAGGAUUCAAAUCUUUUGUAAAAUCCAAACAAGUAAGACAACAGGAACAUCAAGGAGAUGAGAAACGAGGUGACCACAGGCUUCAUAAAGCCUAAAAAACUUCAGGCUGAGAGAAAAAGACCCCAGUCAAGAUGGGUGCGGCUCUUGUCAUCAGCACACAGGCAGUCCUAAUCUGAACAAGAAAAUGCGUCACCCAUCAAUCCAAGCCCUCCAAGAAUGUCAAGCUCCUCCUUGAAUCAUCUUGUCCUGACACCACCUGGCUCCCAGGGCCUCUGGGCAGCUGUGGCUGUGCAGCCCCUGCUUUUCACCUGUCUCCUGUCCUGGAGUGCUCGUUGCAUCUUCAGUGUGUUAGUUGCACCACUCCUUUAAGAGAGGCUCAUGCCUUACCUUAUCCCCUCAAUGACUGUCUUAUUUUUGUAUGCCCCUAAGAGCAGAGCAUGGGGCUAGAGUGGCAGUAGUGUUUCAAUAAACACUUGUUGACUUACAAU
rnacentral:lncRNA from 1 species